GCUGGGAGUGGUGGCGCACACCUGUAAUCCCAGCGGCUCAGGAGGCUGAGGUAAGAGGAUUGCAAGUUCAAAGCCAACCUCAGGAAAAGCAAGGCGCUAAGCAAUUCAGUGAGACCCUGUCUCUA
rnacentral:sRNA from 1 species